ACAAUUUUAAGCAGGCUCUUGCACAGUGUGAGCCCAAAUUAACGAGUCCACAAGUGGUCAGGGAAUCUGUUGAUGACACAUCCGGUGUUGCACUACAAGAAGUUAGGGCAAUUGGGGCGACCCUUUAAGCAGCGACAUUAGAAAAGUUGCCCAGAGGUCAAAAUCCGUCACAUCUUUAUAAUCGAUCCCUGGCCGUUAAUGAAUAAAGGAUCCGACGGUCCAUUUUAUAUUAACUGUAAAGGGGUAUAAUACCCUUGGCGGGCUACUGCCCAUCCUCAUUCCCUCCCAAUUACACAACUAGCCUCCCCCAAACCCUAGCAUGACACCGCUGCUCUGCCCCGCGCCCCACGUCCUUUGCCCGGCGUCCUCAGCCCCGCACACAAGAAAGUGCAGGUUAUUGUGCUGCUGUUGUCAAGUUUCUUGUGUUAGAAAAUGUCGAAUUUCUUGUGUUGUUGUCAAGUUUCAUCUCACAAAAAAAACAAACAAACUCUUGCGGCAGUGAAUUUGCUCUGAUUCUUUAGCGUUUGCAACUUUGGUGCAAAGAUUGAUAAAUAGAAAGAUGCAAAUGGAGAAAUUAGAGUUGAUAAAAUCGGUUGCAGCAGAUACAAGAGGGAAGCAUAGAGUUUUGGCUGAAUUGAAGAGGCUUGAACAAGAAACUCGUCAUUUAGAGGAUGUACAAAACAGUUGAUGCCAUACAAUGGGAACUCAACAGCCAUUUUAAGACGCCUGGAGGGUUAGUCUUGGAAUUGCACAAGGAAUUCUAAAAGAACACUAAAUUAAUCUUCAUCAAUUGAAGCCGGCCAAGGAAGGGUCUCACCUUCUAAAAAACCCUAAUAUAAUAGCAGGUAAAUGAAUCAUUUGUCGUCCAACCAACCAACUGGUGGCGAUUCGUGACCAGGAAAUCGAAAGAGAGAGGAAGAUGGAGUCUUUAGGCGGCGGCGAUGAUGAUAUCCGUUUGAAGGUGGUAGGAUCUGUAUAUGCAAGUCAUCCCGAGGUGUAACUAUUCUUCAAUCUUAUGUGCAUACCUCUUGGAUUGUCAAGCAGGAGCAUACAGAAGCUGCGGGAUCUAUACUUUGUAAGGUGCUCGAUGAAAUGUCUGUGUGAAAGGUCUCCUGAGUAUCAGCAGUGGCAGCCAGAGCCAGUGCAGGAGAUAGAGCCGGAGUGGCGGCAGAAGAACCAAAUUCUUUAACGUUAAACACAGAUGAUGUUAACACCACUCUACACACUACAAGCUGGUUUCAAAAUUGCACAUGCUGGUUGAUGGAGUCAUAAGUAGUUAUGAUAAGUUUUCUUUAAUGAUAUUGCGUGGGAAUUAUAUGACUUCUUUUGGGGUGAUUUUGCUGAUUGGUACAUUGAAGCAAGUAAUGCACAUCUUUACCAAUCAGAAGAUAUAGAAAUUGCCUCUAUAUCCUAGGCUGUUAUUUUAUAUGUUUAUGAAAAUAUAUUAAACAUGUUCCAUCCAUUUAUGCAUGUUACUGAAGAAUCAUGCAUGGCAGGCGCUUCCUAAUAUGAAAGAAGCUCUAAUAGUGUCUUCGUGGCCUCUUACUUCACUUCCACGGAAUCUCACUGCCAUAAAAAGGUUUGAAAAAUUACAAGCGUUGGUGAGUUCAUGAAUUUGGUAUUGUUUUUUAGUGACAACUUAUAUGAUAUAGAAAUUAGAAUAUUUAUCGUUCAUUUUGCUUCUUGAUUUAGACGCGAGCAAUAAGAAAUGUGAGGGCUGAAUAUUCUUUGAGCCUGCAAAACGAAUAUCUGCAUCUUUCGUUGCUAAUUCAGGAGUCAUCCAGAAAUAAUCCUAGAUGAAGAAUUGUAUUUUUUUGGGCAAAAAUUGGAAUACGUAUACCACUCUUAACCUUGGUUUAAAAAAGUGUGAAGCGCUCCAAAGCGUUUUGGUUCCAAAAGCUUUAAGCGAAGCUUCAAGCGCGAAGCGAGAGCUUCACGUAUACGAAGCGCUCAAAAUUAAAAACAAAAAAAAAUAUAUAUUGUACACAUCAAUAUGACCUAUUCUACUUGUUAAUCAAUACCAAACACAAAAACAUGAUUAAAAAACACACUUAACACAUAAAAAACAUAGUUAAAACAUAAAUUAAAGUCGAAACACACUUAGGGUAAAGAAACAGGACUCAUUUAACCCUAUUUAAAGACUGUUGGGCUUUAAAAAAUGGCCCAAAUGUGACCUGAUUGGGCUGAAGCGUCGCUUCAAACCAUCAUCGCUUCGCGCUUAAAGCUCGCUUCACAGCGCUUCACGUAAUGUAACGCUUCAGACCAAAAAAAGCGAUGUUUCCAUCGCUUCAGCGCGUCACGCUUAAAGCUCGCUUUAAGCGCGCUUUUUUAAACACAGCUCUUAACAAAUGUUGAAGAAAAUGUACGCAAACCUAUUUGACAGAACACGACACAAACACACGGAAUUUGUGUGAGGUAUAUCAACUCUUAAUACGAUACAAAUAUUCGCUUGUUGAGAAGAACAAGACCACUUGAUUCUUUUUUUUCGUUUUACAUAUUAGUACUCUAAAUUUUCAACAACAAGACCCGUUUAACAGUUACAUUUAAAUAAUAAAACAUGAGUUAGUUUCUCUUGUAACUUUUAAUACAAAAUACCUAAUUAUUUUAAGUUAAGAGAAAACACACAGUAAGCUUUGUAAAAAAAAAAAAAAUUAACUCGUAAAUUUGACAGGCCGACCCAAAGCUGACCCGGUUAGCUAAACAUGUUAAUAGGUUUGACCUCUUAGUGACCCAAACUUGUUUAGACUAAACCAAUACCCGCAAAUUUCGUGUUAGUUUAAUGUCGUAUUUUCGUGUCCAUAUUUUCCCUAAUCUUUUUUUUUUUGUGUGUGACAGAGAAAUGGAUGUAUUGGCUCUUCUAUCCUGUCUCGGUUUGCAAAGCAUCCAUUUUACAGAUUCGCCUAGAUGCAAAUCAAAGUGUUCAUCUUGUUGCUAAGGAAGGUCUAGAGCCAUAUCUUCCUCUUGCAGAUAUGGUAGACAUUUAUGGAGAAGUUCAACGGUUAUCCAAACGCCUUUCAAGAUGCAAAACGAAUACAACACCCUUGUGGCACGUUUGAGUUCUCCCAAUUUUGUUGAGAAAGCUCCUGAGGACGUUGUUCGUGCAAGAAGGCAUCAAAAGCAGAAGAAAAAUUGAAUCUUACAAAAACUCGUCCGUCUUUUCUUCAAUCGACUAUUUUGGUCUUAGAGUAGAUGUAAUUCUCUACUGUAAUUGUGUUUGUUGAUUAACUUGUCUUCGGUCUAUUGGCACCUUAGGAUUAAUCGUGUCGACUCCGCUGCAACGCGCGGGUUCCCCACUAUAUAGAUUUGUGGGUUUGUUUAAAAUAGGGAAUUUUUAUAUUGUUUUCUUGAAAUUAAGAUUAUAGAUGGUUUGUUAUUAAGUUGUUUCAUGAAUUUAAUUUGUUUAGAGUUGACUCCGAAUUA